UCCUUCGUCCAUUUCAUUUCUCCUUUUGUACUGCCUCUUCCUUCCUUUCCUUUAUUAGCUAUCAUUUCCUGCCCUCUACCUUUCUCUGUGCACGUUCCUUUCCUUCCUCCUCUUUUGUGUCCAUAUCUCUUUUGUUCCUCACUUGUUCCUGUCUUUCUCGCUCGCUCUGCCUCUAUCUUUCCUCUCGUCUUGUUUUCUUCUCUUCUCUCUCGCAGCUCCCCACACGGCAGCUAAUUGGCUUCCGAUGCAUAUUUAAUGUGCAGCCACCCAAAUCACAGUCUGCCUGCCACUGUGUGUGUGUGUGUGUGUGUGUGUGUGUGUGUGUGACAGUUAUAUUGAGUUAGUGUGUUGCGUGUCGUUGUGUGAGUGCAUGUCUGAAAAUGUGCAAAAAUCAUGUGUAUGUGUGUGUUUGUGUGCUUGUGUUUGUUCUGCUGUUUCACGUAAAUGCAGUGUGGGAAUGUGUUUCUGUGCAUCUGCGUGCAUGUUUUCGUGUGUAAUCUUGUGACAGGAAGUCAAUUUGUACUAAUCUUUUCUUGCUGCAAUCCACACUCCCAGCGGAUGCCUUAAUGGCUAACAGAGAGAGUUGCGUAACAGCAAGUCAGACAGGAGAGUUUGUUGUCCGUUGAAAGUCUCUGUCAAACUGUUUGACGGUGGCACCAUUUCAUUAAAUUCACUUGCAGCGUCCAGCAAACUGGGUCACUUGCGUAUGUGUUUGUGUAUUCUCAUACUCAUGGGUCCAAAUGAUCCAUAAAAGGGUAGAAACAUGAAGACGAUCUCUGAAGUGAGGACAUUUUGCUGCUCCUCACUUCUUUAAAGGAAUGGUUCAACAAUUUGGGAAAUACACUAAUUUGCUUUAUCUCCAAAAGUGAGAUGAAAAGAUCAAUAUCGACUUUAUGUUUGUCUGAUCAAAGAAUUCUCCACCGAUUUAGCUUUGCACUCCUAUAACACUGUCAGACUCACAAUGGACAGUUUAAAGAAAAGGAUCAAAAUCGAUGCAGCAGAACCAGAGACAUCGGCGUUUUUAUUCCACACAUUCUUCUUCCUUGUCAAAUCCUGGCACCUACAUUACUCACAAAGCAACUCGACUGCCAGCAGUUCAGCCUGAGAUUGGGGUGUGUAUGCUAGUAGCAGCUAAUGUCGCCUGGAGCCGCUAGCCUGCAGCGGAGACGAGGAGCCGGCUACAGAGGUCUGCUGAGCUGUGGAUUUCCUGAAGCGACAGCAGGGAGAGCUGCUGCCAGAACCACCAAACUCAUCAGACUUGGACUCACUGUUCCUGUGACCUCUUCCACAUCAGAAAGGUCUUUCCCAGGCCUGCAGCGUCUGAAAACUUAUCCGUGCUCCACGAUGGGACGAGGAAGACUUAACGACCUUGUGGUUUUGAACUGUCACAAAAACCGAUGAGUUCAUCAGGUGCACUGCUGUGCCUUUGGAAAUAGCCUGUAGCCAAUAGCACCCAGGCAUAAUGUCUUGUCAAAGUGUAGGAGUUGGCUCCAGCACCAUUUCCAUGACUGCAGAAAUGCAGCUGUAUUCAACACCAGUCAAGGGGAACGGGAGCUGUGUCAAAAGGUUCAAGACCAGCAAAAAGACCACAAAGACUUGAACUAUUAGAGGAGGAGGAGGAAGGCAUAUCUUUUGAGAUUCCUGAGCCUCAUGACUCCACAUACAACCCGGGAGACAACUUUCACCCACUCCAAGCUCUGCCUACGAUGAGACCAAAUAGUUUAUGAGAGCUGCCUCCUGGAGCUUUUUGAGGCCUGCCCUGCGUGCCGACGAGUGUGUGACAUCAGCCCAAGAAGACGCAGAACUUUCUUGGCAAUUGACUAACUCUGCCCACAUUGUCAGUACUUCAGACAAAGGAAGAGCCAGCCUGUUUUUGGAAGCACCCCUGCAGGGAACCUUCAGCUGUCCGCUACCAUUUAUUUCACUGGUGCAUCUUUCCUCAAGCUGGAAAACGUAUUUCAAAUUGUGUGUGUACAUAUACAUAUAUAUGGUUGGUCUUCAGCUCAAAACAUGUAAGGUUGGAUAACAUUUUCCUCAGCAGUGACCAUCGCCAUUUGCAUUUACUGGUGAGUUUACCAAGCUAGGCUACACUCCGUUACCUGUGGUUGUCCUGGCCGUGUGUCACUCAGAAAACAGUCAGCCAAUCAGAAGAGAGGCUCAUUAAUAUUAAUGAGACACAAAACGCCCUGUUCUUGCUAGAGCUCCAGAGAGAAGAGUUAGAGAGGAGCUGUAAAAAAAUAAAAUAAAAUAAGGGGAUGUUUUUUGUACUUAAAAACCACAAAUAUAUCUUCUUUUGGAUAUAAAAACUUCAAAUGAAACACUGGAAAAGACUGUCAUGGUUUUGGGUUUUAGUUCAGUUAUUUCCUGCUUUAUGUUGAAAGAGUCUUUCCUCAUGUGUCUUGGGUUACUUUACUUCCUGCAUUCAUGUGUGUGCGGCAGUUUUAAUUGUGUGCCCCUCCCUGAUUAGUUUCACCUGUGUCUAGUUGUCCCUCCCUCGCCAGUGUAUUUGGUCCAUGUGUGUUCCCUCUUUCAGUUCUCAGGUCGUCUACAUUAAUUGGGAUUAUUCUUAUAUUAUUCGUGUUUUUUUUAUCCUGGACUUCUCAGUCGCUCUUAGUAGUUUUG